rnacentral:rRNA from 1 species
AGGACGAACGCUGGCGGCGCGCUUAACACAUGCAAGUCGAACGGGGCUCUUCGGAGUUCAGUGGCGAACGGGUGCGUAACACGUGAGUGACCUGCCCUGGUACGGGGGAUAACCCGGGGAAACCCGGGCUAAUACCGCAUGCGCUCUCUGGGCUUCCGGGCCUGGGGAGAAAGUGCUUUCGGGCACUGUGCGAGGAGGGCUCGCGGCGUAUCAGGUAGUUGGUGAGGUAACGGCUCACCAAGCCGAUGACGCGUAGGGGUCUGAGAGGAUCGGCCCCCGCAGUCGGACUGAGAUACGGCCCAGACUCCGUACGGGAGGCACGCAGGUGGGGAAUC